AUUAAAAAGAAACUCGGGCCAUCUAGUUGGGAAACAUACUCAAUCAAUGUCGAGCCAACACCAGGGCUGUCUUUGAGACAACUCAUCACUGCUGCUUCACCUCCUAAAACUAAGUUUGAGACUAAAAGUCCCAACCAACAUUUGGGAUUUGGUUACAUAGCUAGAUCCUCAGUUGAGAAGCCUCCGGCAGAUGUACCUACACAGCCACCAGAAAGCAAUAGGAAAUACAUUGGGCUCCCACAUGUCGACCAGGUGCCAAAGAUUGAGGGAUCGCUGCUUGAAGUCGUAGUCAACAGGGACGGCUACUGGGUGGCCAGCCGGUGACACCCCAAAUAGUGAACAUAGUCCCCGUGCCAGGAAGUACUAGCUGUGCUCACAUACACAGUGCUGUAACGUCAUCCGAGCACUGCAUAUAGUUUCCCUAUAACCUAGAGAUGAAGCGGAGAAAUUUUCGAGGGAUUUAGUAUGUGGUUGUCUGGGCUAUUCUCUCCAGCAAUGCUCGAUGCACGUGUGCCCAUUAAUAAUGAAUUCUAUUGUUGGAUGGAAAUACAAAUAAUAUAGCGAGUAUUUUACGAAA